rnacentral:misc_RNA from 1 species
AACGCACAUUGCGCUCUUUGGUAUUCCGGAGAGCAUGCCUGUUUGAGAAUCAGUAAAUUCAUCAACCCAAGGUUCUUGGAACUUAUUCUGAGAGCUAAAAGGUUGGAUCUGGGCCAUUUGCUGCUUAGGCAGCAAUAGCCUGAAAUUGAAUGUUACGCUCCUGUGGACUGAGAAGUCUUGGGCAAACGCAUGAAUGAGGUAACUCAGAAGUACGUGAGCCUUUGAGAACGAUCAAUCCUUAGUUGGGUAACUCAACUGAUUAACCAGAGUUUGUUGGCAUUAGCCGGCAUAUUCUGAACACUUGGUCUCAAAUCAGGUAGGAAAACCCGCUGAACUUAA